rnacentral:rRNA from 1 species
UACGAAGGGGGCUAGCGUUGCUCGGAAUUACUGGGCGUAAAGGGCGCGUAGGCGGCACUGUUAGUCAGGCGUGAAAGUCCUGGGCUCAACCUGGGAACUGCGCUUGAUACGGCAGAGCUAGAGGAUGGAAGAGGCUCGCGGAAUUCCCAGUGUAGAGGUGAAAUUCGUAGAUAUUGGGAAGAACACCGGUGGCGAAGGCAGCCCCCUGGGUCAAAACUGACGCUCAUGCACGAAAGCGUGGGGAGCAAACAGG